GUGAGGAAUAUUGGUCAAUGGGCGGGAGCCUGAACCAGCCAAGUCGCGUGAAGGAAGAAGGAUCUAUGGUUCGUAAACUUCUUUUGCAGGGGAAUAAAGUGCAGGACGUGUCCUGUUUUGUAUGUACCCUGAGAAUAAGGAUCGGCUAACUCCGUGCCAGCAGCCGCGGUAAUACGGAGGAUCCGAGCGUUAUCCGGAUUUAUUGGGUUUAAAGGGUGCGUAGGUGGUUUGAUAAGUCAGCGGUGAAAGUUUGUAGCUUAACUGUAAAAAUGCCGUUGAAACUGUCGGACUUGAGUGUAAAUGAGGUAGGCGGAAUGCGUGGUGUAGCGGUGAAAUGCAUAGAUAUCACGCAGAACUCCGAUUGCGAAGGCAGCUUACUAAGCUACAACUGACACUGAAGCACGAAAGCGUGGGGAUCAAACAGGAUUAGAUACCCGGGUAGUCC
rnacentral:rRNA from 1 species